UUGCCUACCUGGCAGGGGAGACCCCAUGGUCAGGAAGGAGGUUUUCCAGGGCAAGGCUCUCAUUCAUCAUUCUUCAUGUGUGCCCAUCCCUGCAUUUUCUCCACGUCCAAGGAUUUCAGCUGCACCACCUGUGGUAGUAAGGACUGCAUGCAUACUCUUCUUC